rnacentral:lncRNA from 1 species
UAUAUAGGGUGAUACUCUGGCUAUGUGCCUAAUGAGACCCAGGUUUCCUUCCAUCUGGAAGCCUUUGAAACUAGAAUACUCCUUACCUUCUUCUAAAAUAUGGUGUGCAUGGGCAAACUGUUGUAGAUACUCUCUUUUGAAAGAGGAGAAACAGAUAAGAUAGGGGUUGGGGAUAGGACUUCUAAGGAUGUUCAAGAUUCCUGUUGAAAAAUUCCUUUAGGAUGAAGGUGAUGAGAAUGAUGGAUGCUCUGGCUCAAAUCCCUACAUCCUGGUACUACCAUCUAGCAAUUUGGUUCAUUUUUGCUUCAGAGCUCAGCAUUGAACACAUGGAAUGACCUUUGUCUUUCUUUAUCUUCAGUGACAGUGUACAUUUGUAACUUGGCAGUUUUGUCCACCUGGCUCCUUCCUGUAGCUCUCAUUUGGUUUGGUCUUGUCCUCAUCUUUCCAGCCAUGCGGGCCAUGUUUCUAUUACCAUUACAUUCUCAAAACGUUCUGUGCCCUAUGUAUGCCAUAGGGACUCAUGCCACUGGACUGAUGGGCUCCCUCUAGAGCAUUCAUGGGUAAUUGCAUCUCUAUUUCUGACUCCUACACAGUAUCUUCAUCCAGAGCACAAUAUUGCUUAGCUUCAUUGCCUGUCUUUUCUCCCGGGCACAUUUUUGUUAACAACAGAGUAUCCUAAUUUUAGUAUGUUUCACAACUUCCACAGACAGAGAAUUUUCCAAAUCAUCAAAGGCAAGGUCAUUUUUACUUAACAGUUCUUCAAUUUAUCUUUCCUUUCUCACAUUUUACUAUAAAUAGAAUGUAAAGCCAGGCUACACCUUUAACACAUUACUUAGUAAUCUCCUUUACUAAAUAUCCAUGUUCAUGCUUACGUGUUCUUUUUACUACCUGUAGGGCAUAGUGUAGCUAAGGUUUCUGAUCUUAUAUAAUAAUAAGAGCCUUUCAAAUUUAAGUUUUGUAAUUGCUUUUGAGAAUUCUAUGCAUGAGUACUGUAUUUACAUAAUUUCCACUCCUCGUUUUCCUCUUCCUGUGCACUCCAGUCCCUGUCAAAUUUCUGACCUCUUCUUUAAUCAUUAUCAUGUCAUAUAUAUUGCAUAUGUAAAUACAUAGAUAAUGUACAUAUACAUACAACUUGCUGAGUCCAGCAAAUGUUGCUUAUACUUGAUUAAGGGUGACUCCCUGGGCUUAGAUAAUGUAGCACAAGGGGCUUGUCCUUGGAGAAGCCUGAGCCCUCCUCUCUCAGCAGUCAUUAAAAGCCUAUAGAUCAUCAUUUAAGGUUGGGUCUUUUCAGAUUUUUGCCGUGCAUAUUGGCAUGUCAACUGGUAUGGUCUUUGUGCAGUUCCAUGUUAGGUGGCAUACCGUUGGGAUUUCAUGAGUGCAGCUUUUCUGGUAUAUCUAGAAGAAACUAUCUUGCAGUAGAUGUUAAUAGCAUAUCCCUGAGAAAAUGCUGGGCAUAGCAGCACAAUUUCUUCUUUGAGUAUUCUGUGAAUGGUAGUCUGACUUUCUCUAUAGACAUGUAAAAUGGAUCCCAAACCCUACUUAAUACACAGUUCAACAGACAGCUAUGCCGUUUGACGUAUUUCUUUCAGCCAUGCCCUACUUCCUUAUAUAAAAUCAACAUCAGCAAGGGUUUAACAGCAGCCACAGAACUGGAAAAGACUGCCUGGAUAUUUAACGUGGAGGACUGCCUAGAUAGAAAAACUGAAUAUAUAGGGCAGUUAUUAGAAGCAGCAUCUGUGAAGACAGAAGCUAGAGUAGUUGUCCAUGGAUAGAAUUACUUCUUCGUGAGUUCUCACUUCUACUCUUUAAGGGUUUUGAGAAGAUUUGUUGAAGCUGUCCCCAUCAUCCAGAGUACCACUCUUUAUUUCAGGUUAGUUGGAUUGUGACUGUGACAUAGCAACAGUGGAUCAGUGUUUGAAUAAUUGAGCAUUAUAGUCCAGGCAAGUUAACCCACAAACCUGACCAUCAUAGACUGCACCAGCACCUGCCUUAAAAAAAAAUCCUCAGGGCAUGUUUCUGGAUUAAAAUAAAGCAAUUUGCAUCACUGUAAAAAGCUUUUGACUGAGAAAAAAGUAAAUAAGAUGCUAUUUAUAAUCUAUUACAGAUGGUUAUAGAAGGAUAUGCUGAAGUCAUACUAAUCAUUUAGAAGUUAAACAUUUAACAAAGUGAACUCUCCUAACCUGGGAUUAAGUCACCUUCAUAGAGUCCAGUAAUCUUCUAGAAAUACAUACAUGCCUCUGUAUAUGAGAGAAUGGGGAGAAAAAGAAAGAAAGAAAGAAAGAAAGAAAGAAAGAAAGAAAGAAAGGGAGAAAGAGAGAAAGAAAGGAGAGAAGGAAGAAAGAAUGAAAGAAUCAUAAAAUAAUAAAUUUAUCUUAUAGAAUUAGAGUCUAUAUCUUUCACCUCAUUCACAAAACAUUUGUUGUUUUAACAUUUGACACACAUUGAUAUAAACCUAAUUUGCAUGGCAUGCAAGGCCUCAGUGCUGUCUUGUUUUUUUUUUUUGUUUGUUUGUUUGUUUGUUUUUUCCGAGACAGGAUUUCUCUGUGUAGUACUGGCUGUCGUGGAACUCACUCUUUAGACCAGGCUGACCUCGAACUCAGAAAUCUGCCUGCCUCUGCCUCCCAAGUGCUGGGAUUAAAGGCAUGUGCCACCACGCCCGGCUCAGUGCUGCCUAGUUUUCUGUGAACUUGACACUAGCUAGCGUCGUCUGAAAGGAGAGAACUUCAGUUGAGAUAUCGCCUCUCAAAGAUCUUACUGUACACAAGCCUGUAGGUAUUUUCUUCGUUAGUGAUGGUGCGAGGGCCCAGCCCACUGUUGGUGGUACCACCCCUGGGUUGUUAUAGGAAUCAAGUUAAGGAAGCCCCUAGGAGCAUACUAGAAAGCAGCAUUCGAUGGGUCCUCUGCAUUGGCUCCUGAUUCCCACGGUGGGCUGUGAUUCAGGAUAUGUGAGCCAAAUAAGCCCUUUCCUCCCCAGUUUGUUUUGGUCAUGGUAUUUCACCACAGAAACAGAAACCCUAAGUAACACAGCCUCCAUCUGUAGCAAUAUGCCUGCAAUAAGAAUCCUAGAUUGUAAACACAGUAAAAAAUCUGUGCUCACAAACAUCAAUUGCAUCUGUUAGAUUCAACUCUUAAGGAUUUCAGCAGAAUUCUAAGAAUGGUUCCUAUAGGGAUUGGCUAGGGACGGAUCUCUAGGUUUCUAUUCCAUCAAAACUGACUAAGGUGUAUUUCUC